rnacentral:antisense_RNA from 1 species
CGGACCUCGCCUUUCCCACUUGGUUAGAGUCGGCUCUGCCGAGAGAAAGCGAUUCCAGAAUUCCCUAAGUUAAAGGAAUUUCUUACUCCUUAUUGAGCGCCAUCCAAGGGCCAGGCCCUAGUCUAGGAACUGGCAAAACGGUGGCGACCGCGUCAGACAAGAUCGCUGCCCUCAUUGAGUUCCCAGGUUGGCAGGGGAAACAAAAAUCUAAUAAAUAACUGCAGUUUGCAAGAAGAGCUAUGAAGAAAAAACAGGGUGAUGGGAGAGAGAAUGCUUGGAUGUUGAAGGGAGGCCUUUCUGAGAUGGUGACAUCUUGAGCUGAAUAAAGAAGAAUGAGAAAGGAUGGGGCUUGCAAAGUUCUGGCUUCAAAGAAUUCCAGGCAGAGGGAACAAGAGUGAAGUCUCCAGGGGAAGCCAGCUUAGUGUUUGGAGACUAGAAAGAAGGGGUGUGUGGCUGGAAGAUGCUGGAGAUAGAGGAUGGAAACUCAAAAGAUGAUUGAAGAUUAAAAAUCAAGAUGAUUGAGGUUGGACUUCUCAAAGCCUUGCUGCAGCCUGAGCUUGAGCGUUUGUGAGCUUUGCAGCCAGAUAUGAACAGAAGACAGAUUCAUUUCCUGCUGCCUGCUGCUCCAACCCCAAAUCUCCCAGUUUGAUCCGAGAGCCCUGAAGAUUUGCCUUCACCCGGCGCCCCCCAGAUGCUUCUUUAUAAGCCUUGCUUGUAAAUAGGUGUCAGUAAGGGUCUCACCAUGCAGGAUGUGGGUGUGUGGGUGCUCCAGAUCGCCCCACCGGCUGUCACCAUCCCCCUGCUGUUGCCAAUGCAUCCGUUGAGGAUGCCUGGCAGGUUACAUCCCAUCCUGGGGGCAAAUGGUGACUGACAACAGAACAAGCACUCACCCGCUUACCCCACAGCAGGACAGUUCAGUGGGAGGAAUUUGUUCUAGAGCGCCCUGGAUCAGGCCGAGGCUUUCCCCUUCCAUAUUCGGCUUCUUUUGCUCCUCUAAUAAGUCACGCAUGUGGAGCCC